rnacentral:lncRNA from 1 species
CUUCAGGAUCACAGUUUCGGAUGGCAUUUGCAUAUUGAUCGUCAAGGGGGCCCUCAUACAAAUUCUCAACACGGUACCUCUGGGCAGUUGAUGGUGAGGGAAGAUGAAAGAUCAUCAUUUCAAGUAGGGCAGUACUUGCAGGCAACCAGGUCUGCAUAACACGUUUCAUCAAUGGCUUACCCAUCAGGUCCUUCUCUUCAGACUUCAUGGUGACCCCUAGCUUUGUAAGCAUAGGCCACAACUUAUCCUUCUGAUCAUUCAUACAAGUGUUGAUGAUCUGCUUGAUAGGCUCAUAACAGAACUGAACAAACCCACGCUUGCAAGAAGCUGAACCAGUAUUCUUGGUGGUCCAUUUUUUUGUGGCAGGAUCGAAGAAAUUUUCACCCCAGAGCCUCUCCAUCAUCUUGGACUCAUCAACGCCAAAUUUUGAGGCAUACAUUUUGGCAAAGUUGGUCAGAGUAAAAGCCCAACCAUGCAAACCAGCAGAAAAAGCAACUGUUCCUUUCUCUGGAUACACCUGAACAUCACCAAGAAGUGGAUCUUCAUAUGUAGCCAUGAUCACAUUAGCAUUCUCAAUCACCCUUGAAAAGGUCUGGUACGCCUCCUCUCCAUCAACCUGGAGCUCAAGGAAGCACCUGUCCAUCUUAUUAACUGUAAGAACAGGCCUGAUCCUUUCUCCAAGAGCUUGUCGAAGCACAGUUUCAGUUUGGACACAUACACCUUCCACACAGUCAACCACCACAAGUGCUCCAUCAGUAAUACGGAGUGCAGCAGUAACCUCAGACGAGAAGUCGACGUGCCCAGGGGAAUCAAUGAGAUUAAUGAGAUACUCAUUUCCAUUACGCUCCCCCUUGAACCUCUUCAGAGAUUCAUCAGUCAUUUCAUAGUAGAGUGAGAUACCGGUACUCUUGAUUGUAAUACCACGCUCAGCUUCAUCAGCACGGGUGUCAGUCAUACGGACAUCACCAGCAACUUCCUGGGCAAUAAUUCCCGCAGCAGCGACUAAAGAGUCGGUUAAGGUCGAUUUUCCUGCAAAUAGAAACAGAGAAAAAAAUUGUUCAGACCGGCAAACUAUAGUACAUAUACAACAUGACAAAAACUAUAAUACGCUCUGAUUUGCAGGAAAAGUUUUAUAUAUGACAAUGAUACUUUUGAAAAUUGUAUGACAACAUUACUAUGUGAUCAUCGUUAGAACAUAAAAAAUCCUGCGGAGUAUUAAGAAAAACUAUAAUCACAUUAAGAAAUUUGUUUGUUAGAGAUUUUCAAAAAAAAAAAUGAGGUUUUUAGUAGCAAACCAUCUAAAAAUGAGAGGAUUUUCCUGCAAACCAUUUUUUUAUAAUUGGUUUUAUUUAAAGGUGAUCUGGUAAAUAAACACAAAACAACUUCUACUUUUCUCAAAAAUCUCUAAAAGUUAAUAUCUUGAAUUAUUGAGUAUCAAAAUCACUUUUUAUAAUUCGUAACAAAUAAGAGAGCAACAUCACAGUUCAAAGCAAUCAAGAAAAGGCUUGGAGUCCAUACCGUGGUCAACAUGAGCAAUGACAGACAUAUUACGGAUGUUGUGCUUGUAGUCCAUAAUACGACGUAACUCAUCAGCUGUGAACUUCACCUGUUGAUAGUAACACAAAUCUCAUGUCAGAUUAUGAAAACUCAAAAGUAAAAAUAAUAAAAAAUCAAUCAGUGUUGUCCGCAAACUUACCAUCUUGACUAGUCUUUUUAGGCCGCAAAAAAAGUCUUCAGUACUGAAACAUCAAAAAAUUGAAGUUAGUUAAACAUGAAACAUCACAAAUACAACAACAAUAACAAGGGUUAUUGAUAUUAACGUCAAAAAAUAAACAACGAUAACACAAAGAUGACAAAUCUGUAAUCAUGUGAGUCAAUAACGGAUACUUAUCUCAGUUUUUAUCAAAAACUUUAAAACAAAAUUAUUCAGAUUUAUGUAUCAUAUUACCAUAACCCACUCAUCUCAGUAUAUAAUUAUCAAAAACAAAAACAUGUUAAAUAUUAUCACUUAAAAACAAAAAAACACAGCAACCAUUAACUACAUAACACAACAAAAACAAAUCUGAAAAACAAAGUUCAAAAAAAUCAUAUAUUCAUGUCAGUAUUUACAAUAGAUUCGUUACUUACAAUUAUCUAACAGUAACAUCGAAAUCAAAAAAUAAUAAAAUUAAAAACCUAAUAACAUGUGUUUCGAUUAACUUAAUCUCAUAUAUUCAAACAAAUUCAUAUCAAAUAGUAGUGGUAAAAAUAACCGAUUAUAUCCAAGAAAAAUUAUUCGCACAUAAAGUCAACAUAGCUACAUCAAUUUAAACACAAAAAAUCAGUCAGAUAUCAAAUCUAAAAGAAAAAGAAUGAAAUAAACACAGAAACAGUUCAGAUCUGAAGCAAAUCGAAGUGAAAAAAAGUGUGAAGAAAAAAACAAGUACCGAUCUGAAUAAGAACAGAGAAAAUAAGUAAGAAAACGAUAAGAGAGAUGAAAAAUUGAAGGAAGAAAUCGAACCUGAAAGAGAGAGCGAGAGAAAGAGAGAGAGGCGGCUAAGGUAUGGUGCUGCCUUUCUCGCGUGUUAUAAGAAAGAGAGAAGAGUGUGUGAAGUGUGUGAUGAUAUAUGUAUGUGGAUGGACCAAGCGAAACCAAAAACGCAAUCCCUAAUUCCCUAUAACCUAAAAUAUUCCGUCCAAACAAAAAAAAAAAUAUCAAAAGAUUUUCUAAAUGUUUUAUCUUUUUUUUUUUUUUUUUUGUAUAGAAGAAGGGAAUUUUUUUUGGAAUAUGCCAUUUUUAUUUUUAAUAAAAAAAAAUACUCCACUCAUCCACUUGUAAAAUACUACUACUAGCUUUAACAUACUUAACCAAGUGAUAGAGGUAAUGAGUUUGUAUCAUAGAAAAAUAAAGCAUAAUUGUAUGGUUGAUGUUUAUGUUUAUUUUAGGUUUUUAGUAGAUCAUUUUGUUUUAAAUGUUUUAAGUUGGUUGGUUUUGUUUUAAAUGUUUUAAGUUGGUCUAAAAUAUUUGCAAAGUUUAAUUAUUUAAUACUCAGGAAGACAAAUGAUAAAGAUAAAGUUUUAAGAUAGUAAAAUAAUAAAAUGCAGAAGUAAAGAGUCGAUGGGAUAAAAUAAUACUUAGUGCAAAUAGUAAGGUUUUAAGAUAAUAAAGAAACCUUCUCUUAAAAAAAAUAAUAAAGAAACCUAAAUUUAAUCCCACAAAAUUGACUAAAUAAAAGUUUCAAUUUAUAACCCAAAGAUUUAUUCAAAUAAUUCAUCCCACAUAUUUGAAAACGAAGUUUAAAAAGAAGAACAAAAUUUUAAAAUGCAUAUGUAUAAACACGGGAUUGGUUUUAAUGGGGUGAAAUGAGUAAUGUAAACGAGUUUUUCAUUGUUGUUUCUGUUUUUUUUUUUUUUUACAAAAUUGAUGUUUUUGAGUUUGGGAUUUACAUGUGUUGUUGUUGUAACGCCCUAUUUCUAUUAAAGCAAUAAAACACGCGAAUAAUAUAAUAUUCAAGAAAUAGACGCCGCAUCUUCAACAAAAUGCAAAACAACAUGCAUGUAUAAAAAUUCUCAACAGUUGCAGCGGAUAUAAAUCAUACACCUCAAAGUAUACAUGUCAUGAUAUCGAAUACAUCAUCAUAAAAUUCUCCAAAACGUAAAUACAUCCAGGAUAGACAAUCUAAGAUAAAUCAUAAGACAGACACCUAGAUCAGAGCCUAUCCUAGACUCUAAGGAAACUGAUACCGAAGAUAGCUCCCGAUAUGCAAUCACUCACCGAAGCAACUAAUCAUGCACGUCGUCUACCCAUCCAUACAGACAGGUAGGCGGUCAAAACCACUAGGGGGUAAGUUUUACAUCAAUCAUAAUCAAUAAAAUAAAUUUGAACAUAAAUGAAUCAUUUCAAGUUCCAAAUAAUUAACAUAAAUAAUUAAUCUCAAUAAUGAUUCAUAAUGAUAAAUUCAAAUAUCACAAUCAAUCACUCACAUCCACAAGUAUGUCAAUUAUUUCACAUUUAGGACUCAUGCCACAAUAUGAUAUGUCCCUCGACACAACACAUAAAUGCAUGCGGUAGCGUCGUCGCCAAUGUCUAGGUCGUCACCCCAUGAUGCCAACAGAACACCAUAAUCACCUCAAUUGGAUAUAAAAUCUGUCACCAUCAGUCAUGAAUGCAUGAACAUAUGACUCGACAACAAUGCAUAUGUUCACACAAACCAUUCACUACAUUGGAUAUAAAAUUCGUCACCAUCAAUCAUGUAUGUAUAAACAUAUAUCUCAACAACAAUACAUAUGUUCACACAAACAAUUCACCACAAUCUCACCAAACACUUAGCAUAUAUGCAUUCACCAACAAUCCACCAUCACAUGUCAUAUAUGCACUCACCAACAAUCCACCAUCACAUGUCAUAUAUGCACUCACCAACAUUUCACCAUCAUCAUUCAAUAUCAAUACAUGAAUUUCCACACUUCAAGUAAAGAUCAAAUACAAUAAUAUUAUGAUGAACAUCAUAUCCAACACUUAAUAAGUCACUCACAUAACUUCAUUUAACCUUACAAAGCUAUUCACAAAGAUUUACAAGU